GUUGAAACACAGAUUCUCGUACGAUCAUCGAAAUUAAGCAACGUCGAGCCUGAUCAGUAUUUAGAUAGGUGACCGCUUGGGAAUACCAGGUACUGUAAG